CCUACGGGAGGCAGCAGUAGGGAAUAUUGCUCAAUGGGGGAAACCCUGAAGCAGCAACGCCGCGUGGAGGAUGAAGGUUUUCGGAUUGUAAACUCCUUUUGUUAGAGAAGAUAAUGACGGUAUCUAACGAAUAAGCACCGGCUAACUCCGUGCCAGAAGCCGCGGUAUUACGGAGGUUGCAAGAGUUACUAGGAAUCACUGGGCGUAAAGAGCGCGUAGGCGGGAUAGCAAGUCAGAUGUGAAAUCCUAUGGCUUAACCAUAGAACUGCAUUUGAAACUGUUAUUCUUGAGUAUGGGAGAGGUAGGUGGAAUUCUUGGUGUAGGGGUAAAAUCCGUAGAGAUCAAGAGGAAUACUCAUUGCGAAGGCGACCUGCUAGAACAUAACUGACGCUGAUGCGCGAAAGCGUGGGGAGCAAACAGGAUUAGAUACCCGGGUAGUC
rnacentral:rRNA from 1 species